rnacentral:rRNA from 1 species
AACGAACGCUGGCGGCAGGCUUAACACAUGCAAGUCGAGCGCCCCGCAAGGGGAGCGGCAGACGGGUGAGUAACGCGUGGGAACGUACCUUUUGGUUCGGAACAACUCCGGGAAACUGGAGCUAAUACCGGAUAAGCCCUAACGGGGAAAGAUUUAUCGCCGAAAGAUCGGCCCGCGUCUGAUUAGCUAGUUGGUGAGGUAACGGCUCACCAAGGCGACGAUCAGUAGCUGGUCUGAGAGGAUGAUCAGCCACACUGGGACUGAGACACGGCCCAGACUCCUACGGGAGGCAGCAGUGGGGAAUAUUGGACAAUGGGCGCAAGCCUGAUCCAGCCAUGCCGCGUGAGUGAUGAAGGCCUUAGGGUUGUAAAGCUCUUAUGUCCGGGAAGAUAAUGACUGUACCGGAAGAAUAAGCCCCGGCUAACUUCGUG